AGACCAACCUGGGCAACAUAGCAAGACCCCCGUCUCUACAAAAUUAAAACAUUAGCUAGGCAUGGUGGAGUGUGCCUGUAGUCCUAGCUACUAUGGAGGCUGAAGUGGGAGGAUAGCUUAAGCCCAGGAGGUUGAGGCUGCAAUGAGCCACAACUGUGUCACUGCACUCCAGACUUGGUGACACAGUGAGACCCAGUCUAAAAAAAAAGAAAAAGAAAAUCCCAGCUACAGUCUUUGUACCAGCAGUACCUAACAAAGUGUUUUCUACAUAGAAACUGAAUUGAAGGUUGGGCAACUGAGCGAGACCCUGUCUCAAAAAAAUAAAAAUAAACAACUUUUUGGUAGCUUAAAUAGUAUGAAAAAAAGGAAACAGGCAGGCAGGGUGUGGUGGCUCACGCCUGUAAUCCCAACACUUUGGGAAGCCGAGGCGGGUGGAUCACCUGAGGUCAGGAGUUUGAGACCAGCCUGGCCAACAUGGUGAAACCCCGUCUCUACUAAAAAUACAAAAAUUAGCCAGGUGUGGUGGCAGGCGCCUGUAAUCCCAGCUACUCGGGAAGCUGAGGCAGGAGAAUUGCUUGAACCCGGGAGGCAGAGGUUGCAGUGAGUCGAGAUCGCGCCAUCGCACUCCAGCCCGGGGGACAAGAGCGAGACUUCGUCUCAAAAAAAAAAAAAAAAAAGAAAGAAACUGAAUUGAAUUAAAAGAUGCUGACAGAUCUCUUUAAUUAUAGAUGUCAAUGUGAUCUUUCACAAGCACACUGAAAAAUUCACACCGUGGAAAAGAACUAAAGUCCCAUCCUAAUUCAUCAGAGCCUUCUGUUUCCUGUAACAAAGAAGAACUCACAAGAUCAGGAUUCCAAGCAACUGCAACUGAACUCCUCUGUUCUGAUAAAUUAUAUUGCCCCAGCUUCCUCAUUUUAUAUUGCUGACCAUGUAUCUUCUCCUGAAGACCAAAUACGAAGAAAUACACAAGCUUCUUGUAUAGAAGAUACCUAAAAAGUGUUUGCUGAAUGAAGAAAUAAAGGAUUGCUCAGGCACCACUGGCACUUUAAGUUGUUCAGCAAGUACUCGUGCCUCUUAAGAACUGGCCAAGGGCCGGGCGUGGUGGUUCAUGCCUGUAAUCCCAGCAUUUUGGGACGCCGAGGCGGGCAGAUCACGAAGUCAGGAGUUCGAGACCAGCGUGGCCAACGUGGUGAAACCCCAUCUCUACUAAAAAUACAAAAACUUAGCCGGGUGUGGUGGCCUGCGCCUGUAGUCCCAGCUACUCGGGAGGCUGAGGCACAAGAAUUGCUUGAACCCACGAGGAGGAGCUUGCAGUAAGCCGAGAUCGCGCCAUUGCACUCCAGCCUGGGCAACAGGGCAAGACUCUGUCCUGAAAGAAAAAAAAAAAAAAAAAAAAAAAGAACUGGCCGAGGUCUUAGCUGGAGCACUCUCUCUACCCUGCAUGUUUGACUGCAUUUCUGUCCAUUUUCAAUCCGUUUUGGUUAUACGUUUUUUCACACAGGUCUGUUGAACUUAGAACACCGAAGGCCUGUGUAUUUUCAUGGCUCACAGCUCAUGUUGUGUUGACCUGCCCCACUGUGGUUAAUGUUUAGCCCCUAAACCACCAGCUGAAUGUCCUUAAAUCUGAAAGAAUAAUGAACACACGCCAACAGAUAGCUUAGGUUUAUUUGGUGACUUGCGCCACAUACUUUGCGAAUAUCAUCUCAGUCAUCCUUUUAGCAUCUCUCUCAGGCACAUACUCUCCUCUGUGGUGGCUCAUGCCGGUAAUCCCAGCCCUUUGGGAGGCCGAGGCGGGCAGAUCACUUGAGGCAAGGAGUUCGAGACCAGCCUGGCCAACACGGUGAAACCCCAUCUCUACUAAAAAUACAAAAAUUAGCCGGCUAUGGUGGCAUGCGCCUGUAAUCCCAGCUGCUCGAGAGGCUGAGGCAGGAGAAUCAUUUGAACCCAGGAGGCAGAGGUUGCAGUGAGCCUAGACUGCACCAUUGCACUUCAGCCUGGGUGAGACCCCAUCUCAAAUCAAUCAAUCAAUCAAUCAAUCAAUCAAUCAAUAAGGGAAAAGCUAUCACACAGCAGAAUACAGUCCAAGGGUAACUACUGAAGGGCCAGAUCAAGGAGCAAAGUCUAUCAUGUAUCAACCUUUACAGUGUCCCCAAGGGUCAGCUGUGUAUAGGGGCCCACACAGAAUUUGGAAUCCAAAUACAUCUCUGGAUCCCCAGGCCUGUGUUUGACUCGCCAGGUAGUAAUGAGAUGUCUCCAUUUUCUGCAGGCUGAAUGAUUCCCUCAGAGCAGAAGUAUAAGCAUAUUUAUUGUUUUUCCUUCUAUCAUAAACAGUUAUUAGUUGUGGCCCUUUCUCCCUUCCAAAUAGGUGCCCAAAUUUCUGGAAGUGGAAAGGGCCCAACUUUCCCAUAUCAGGGGGUGGGCCCCACUGGGCGUGAGCCAAUCAGUGUCUUCUGUCCUGUGAGCUCCCGAUUUAUGCUGGUCUAUAACCUGAGAUGGCCUUCUCAGGAUGGACCUCCAGGGAUUGCUGGAACUUGGACUCUUGUCAGCCUGGUAAAUGGUAUGUCUUAGAUCUGCUGCAGCCGUCGUGGAAAACUUGAAGCUGCCAGGAGAGAGGGGUUCCAACAUGUGGUGGCUAAAGAAUGAAUCCAACUCAAAGGAAGCAGAGCCAAGAAAUGGAUCCAUGCUGUUUGAAUCUUGGAUCAAAUUGUGCCUGGAUCUCCAGUGAGACAAUAAAUUCCUGUAUUACUCAAGCCUAUUUGAGAUUGUUUUCUUUCACUUGAAACAUUAAACUUUUAAAUUGAUACACCCUAGUUAAAUUAUAAACUGUGUGACA
rnacentral:lncRNA from 1 species